ACUGGGCAGCAUAUGAAGCCUUGUUGGGAGUGACAGAAAAUAUCUUCCACCAUGUCAUUUUUAGUGGCAAAUCGGCUUCCCAGGAAAAUUUCAGAGAGCCAAAUGAGAAAAUAGAUGGGAGCAUAAGAUCAACUUUAGGACUUGAAAUUGAUAGUAACAUCCAACAGACCAUAUGUGAGCUUUCUUUGGAGGUAUAUAUAGACAACCACAUGGUAAAACCAUAUCAAAAUAGAGCAAAAAUACAAAGACAUUAGUGCAGCAUUUGGCAUGGAUCUUUAUUAUUUCUUAAUCUAUGAUAAUUG